AAUGGUAAGUACAUUGAAUCCAUUAGUUCCCAAUGGAUCACUGAAGAUAAGCAACGUUGCGCGUGAUUGGUAACACAAUGGUGACCGUCUGAGCAAUCGCGUAGUGCUGGCU
rnacentral:rRNA from 1 species